UACGAAGGGGGCUAGCGUUGCUCGGAAUCACUGGGCGUAAAGCGCACGUAGGCGGCUUUCUAAGUCAGGGGUGAAAUCCUGGAGCUCAACUCCAGAACUGCCUUUGAUACUGGAGAGCUUGAGUCCGGGAGAGGUGAGUGGAACUCCGAGUGUAGAGGUGAAAUUCGUAGAUAUUCGGAAGAACACCGGUGGCGAAGGCGGCGUCCUGGACCAACACGUGACACUGAUGAGCGAAAGCCAGGGGAGCAAACGGG
rnacentral:rRNA from 1 species